rnacentral:rRNA from 1 species
UACGAAGGGGGGCUAGCGUUGUUCGGAAUUACUGGGCGUAAAGCGCACGUAGGCGGGUUGUUAAGUCAGGGGUGAAAUCCUGGAGCUCAACUCCAGAACUGCCUUUGAUACUGGCGAUCUCGAGUCCGGGAGAGGUGAGUGGAACUGCGAGUGUAGAGGUGAAAUUCGUAGAUAUUCGCAAGAACACCAGUGGCGAAGGCGGCUCACUGGCCCGGUACGUGACGCUGAGGUGCGAAAGCGUGGGGAGCAAACAGG